AGUGGACGCUGGCGGUAGGCCUAACACAUGCAAGUCGAACGGCAGCACAGUAAGAGCUUGCUCUUACGGGUGGCGAGUGGCGGACGGGUGAGGAAUACAUCGGAAUCUACUUUUUCGUGGGGGAUAACGUAGGGAAACUUACGCUAAUACCGCAUACGACCUACGGGUGAAAGCAGGGGAUCUUCGGACCUUGCGCGAUUGAAUGAGCCGAUGUCGGAUUAGCUAGUUGGCGGGGUAAAGGCCCACCAAGGCGACGAUCCGUAGCUGGUCUGAGAGGAUGAUCAGCCACACUGGAACUGAGACACGGUCCAGACUCCUACGGGAGGCAGCAGUGGGGAAUAUUGGACAAUGGGCGCAAGCCUGAUCCAGCCAUACCGCGUGGGUGAAGAAGGCCUUCGGGUUGUAAAGCCCUUUUGUUGGGAAAGAAAAGCAGCAGGUUAAUACCCCGCUGUCCUGACGGUACCCAAAGAAUAAGCACCGGCUAACUUCGUG
rnacentral:rRNA from 1 species